GUAGUAACACAGCAAGUAUUUUCUAAAUUCAGACUUAAUGGUGUGAUGAUUAGAGCCAAAAUAAAAGCUGAAUUAAUUUUUUAAUUUUUAUCUCUUGACCAUAAUUUUCUUACCCCUGCCCUACACAAUUUCAGAUGUUUCUUUGACUGGUGCAUCAUCUAGUUUGACAGAAAAAGGAGUUUGCUCCCCUGCCCUUUAGGAAGACUCCUGCUUCAGUCAAUGGAACUCUUGAUUUCCAGCACUGGGAUCAAGACCCUGUCCUUGGGAAAGACUGAAUGCUGGCAUAACCUUUUCCAGGUAACCAAGGUUUUGGGCAGACAACUUCCCACCCACAGACCCCAUCAGCUGUUACUGUUUAGAAUUAACAAAGAAUUAUUACAUAACCUGAAAAAAAAAAAAAAAAGUAAGAUAAAGACUGAUAUCAACCUUCUAUAGAUCUCCCUUUAAUGAAGCUUUUUCUGUCUCUAU
rnacentral:lncRNA from 1 species